UUACAAAAAAAGCCACGGUAUAAACCGUGGCAAAAUCCAACAUAGCUAAAAAUAAUCAGGCGAGUGG
rfam:Escherichia coli str. K-12 substr. MG1655, complete genome.